GGGCACAUAUGUUGGAACGGAAAUAGAGUUCAACGGUGGCUAAGCAUAUUUUUCAACAGUUGUGUGCUCAUCAAUCAAACUUAAGUUAUUUUACUGUCACGGAACCGCAAGGCUUGCUGGCUUCCAUUGUUUUUGUCUAGUCAAGAAAUUUUACUCAUUCACGGAACCAAAAGGCCUGCUGGCUUCCAUUGUUUUUGUCUAGUCAAGGUAAGUCGCAUGGUUGCAAGCCAGAGCUUGAAUGUAUGCUUAUUCGGUCGCUGUGUUUAUGUGCGUGCACAAUCUCUGCAUUGUUUCCAUACUUUUGGCAUUUGACCAUGUGUAUAUAUGCUGCUACAAAUUUGUUGAUCUUGCUGUAGGGCAUAUGUCUGCAAACAGAUGAACAGGGGCCAAACGGUGUUUGUUUCGCACAGUUUCAUGCACACCUAAUUAAUCUUAAGGUAAACCUGUAGGAGCAUGCAAGGC